GACGAACGCUGGCGGCGUGCUUAACACAUGCAAGUCGAACGGAAAGGCCCUGCUUUUGUGGGGUGCUCGAGUGGCGAACGGGUGAGUAACACGUGAGUAACCUGCCCUUGACUUUGGGAUAACUUCAGGAAACUGGGGCUAAUACCGGAUAGGAGCUCCUGCUGCAUGGUGGGGGUUGGAAAGUUUCGGCGGUUGGGGAUGGACUCGCGGCUUAUCAGCUUGUUGGUGGGGUAGUGGCUUACCAAGGCUUUGACGGGUAGCCGGCCUGAGAGGGUGACCGGCCACAUUGGGACUGAGAUACGGCCCAGACUCUUACGGGAGGCAGCAGUGGGGAAUAUUGCACAAUUGGCGGAAGCCUGAUGCAGCAACGCCGCGUGCGGGAUGACGGCCUUCGGGUUGUAAACCGCUUUCGCCUGUGACGAAGCGUGAGUGACGGUAAUGGGUAAAGAAGCACCGGCUAACUACGUG
rnacentral:rRNA from 1 species